rnacentral:rRNA from 1 species
UCGGGAAUUUUGGGCAAUGGGCGAAAGCCUGACCCAGCAACGCCGCGUGAGGGAUGAAGUAUUCGGUAUGUAAACCUCGAAAGAAUGGGAAGAAUAAAUGACGGUACCAUUUAUAAGCUCCGGCUAACUACGUGCCAGCAGCCGCGGUAAUACGUAGGGAGCAAGCGUUGUUCGGAUUUACUGGGCGUAAAGGGCGCGUAGGCGGCGCGGUAAGUCACUUGUGAAAUCUCUGAGCUUAACUCAGAACGGCCAAGUGAUACUGCUGUGCUAGAGUGCGGAAGAGGCUACCGGAAUUCCUGGUGUAGCGGUGAAAUGCGUAGAUAUCAAGAGGAACACCUGAGGCGAAGGCGGGUUGCUGGGCCGACACUGACGCUGAUGCGCGAAAGCCAGGGGAGCAAACG